rnacentral:tRNA from 1 species
GCCACCUUAGCUCAGUUGGCUAGAGCACCUCUUUUGUAAAGAGGGGGUCCUGGGUCCGAAUCCCAGAGGUGGCU